ACAGCUUUGGCAAAAAAGACCAAUUUGCUUUGGAGCAUUGCUUCUGCAUUCAAUUGUCUAUUUUUGCUCGUGCUGU
rnacentral:ncRNA from 1 species